CUACAUGUCAACGACUCCAGAUCCAGAACCACAAGGUAUUCAAAUUCAUUUCAUAGUCUAAAUUCAUCAAUCUGAAGUUGGAUCUGAAUUUUUCAGGGAUUUCAUUUGCCAAAAACUGUUGAUUAUAAACAGAUCCAAACUUGAGAGCAGAUUAAAUGGUACAAUCUAUUGUUAUUUAUGAUCUGAGUAGGUUUAAGAUCGUAAUGAUGUUGUCAAUUAGUGGAUUCAUUCUGAAUAUGAAGAAGAAGAAGAUAGUAUUUGAUCAUUUGUUGUUUGGUUUGUGCGGCCUCGGAAAUAUAUCACUAAAGGGUAUUCUACAUCGAACUAUGAUCAGUCCUUCCACGUACUGAUUCAAAUCUGUAUCAAAUUUGGUUUAAGGGAGUGGAAAACAUCCGGUGAUAUCCACCAAUCUACCUGCUCAAUUCCUGCUGAUGGAGAACCAAAAGAACUGAAAAGGGAGAUCCAAUGGUUUCACAAUGGAUGAAAGAUACAUCACGGUGGAUGAAAGACACAUCAUGAUGCUAGUAGCUGCCCUUACAGCAUUUGCAGCUGCUUUUACUGCUGCCAUGUUUAGUGAAGACAACAAAAGAUAAUCAAUCUUCUGCUUUUCUGUUUUGAACAGGGAACUGAAAGACAUAGAUGUCAUGCAAAACUAGGAAAGUUAAAUGAGCACAAGUGUUGGUGAAACACCCACAGAUCAUGCUAGAGUUGUGAAGUUAGUAGCUUAAAUAUUAGAGCAUAAUAUUUGUAACAUCACAAUAUUCAUUCGUGGAUCUAAUUGAAGGAUGUAAUCCAGUGUUUGUAAUAUCACAAGUUGUUCAUGAUUUGGUGGAAUGUACUCAACCACUUCGUA